UGGUCACGCCCCCCGAGGCGGCCGCGGAAAGCCUCGGGUUGGGGUGGAUUUAAUCUUGGCAGAGGAAGAGGGGUAAAUGUAAUGUUUCACCUGGCUUCCUACGGAUUCUUGGACGCUCUCUUUGAGCCUGAGCGAAUCCUCCUCGCUUAGGUUUCAUGUUUGCUAGCGGAGUGGGCCAGAUGAGAAAACGGGCUCCAGGACAGGAAAGGCUGGUUCAAAGCCAUGCGGGAGGCAAGGUCGGAUGGUCGGAGUCAGGGACUUGGCGCAGGGCUACUGCGAGCUCUUGCCCACCGCACGCCAGGCCUGUGGGAUAACAUCCGCCUCUGACCAAAGACCAGCAGAGCACCCCUCCCCAGGCCGACUCAGAUCUGCCACCAGGUACCACAGGACAUGUGUGUCUUACGUCAGCCCAACCCUGUCCCUGGGACGUCUUACACAGGUUAAGGGGCUAUCUUGGAAGUGAAGGCAGGGGCUUCUGGCCUGUGAGCACAUGCACAGGAGGAGACAGGAGUCUGGAGCCCACACCGUGUGCCAGGCACUCGACACACUUGCAGUUGACCCUCACAUCGAAGCAGAUUGUGCCUCAUGAUACCUAACUGAAAGGUGAUGAGGGGCCUGGGAAAUGGCUCAGUAGGUUAAGUGCUUGGCUGGCAAGUGGGAGGGCCU